CAGUCGCCGCGGUAAUACGGAGGGGGCUAGCGUUGUUCGGAAUUACUGGGCGUAGAGCGCACGUAGGCGGCUUUGUAAGUUAGAGGUGAAAGCCCGGAGCUCAACUCCGGAAUUGCCUUUAAGACUGCAGAGCUAGCAGGUGAGAGAGGUGAGUGGAAUUCCGAGUGUAGAGGUGAAAUUCGUAGAUAUUCGGAAGAACACCAGUGGCGAAGGCGGCUCACUGGCUCAUACUGGACGCUGAGGUGCGAAAGCGUGGGGAGCAAACAGGAUUAGAUACCCCCGUAGUCCCUGUCUCUUAUAA
rnacentral:rRNA from 1 species